rnacentral:rRNA from 1 species
GUGAACGCUGGCGGUAGGCCUAACACAUGCAAGUCGAACGGCAGCACAGUAAGCGCUUGCUCUUACGGGUGGCGAGUGGCGGACGGGUGCGGAAUACAUCGGAAUCUACUUUUUCGUGGGGGAUAACGUAGGGAAACUUACGCUAAUACCGCAUACGACCUACGGGUGAAAGCAGGGGAUCUUCGGACCUUGCGCGAUUGAAUGAGCCGAUGUCGGAUUAGCUAGUUGGCGGGGUAAAGGCCCACCAAGGCGACGAUCCGUAGCUGGUCUGAGAGGAUGAUCAGCCACACUGGAACUGAGACACGGUCCAGACUCCUACGGGAGGCAGCAGUGGGGAAUAUUGGACAAUGGGCGCAAGCCUGAUCCAGCCAUACCGCGUGGGUGAAGAAGGCCUUCGGGUUGUAAAGCCCUUUUGUUGGGAAAGAAAAGCAGCAGGUUAAUACCCCGCUGUUCUGACGGUACCCAAAGAAUAAGCACCGGCUAACUUCGUG